ensembl:rRNA 5S_rRNA 5S ribosomal RNA
GCUUACGGACCACACCUCCCUGAGCACGCCCGAUCUCGUCUGAUCGUCGGAGCUAAGCAGGGUCGGGCCCGUUAGUACUUGGAUGGGAGACCGCCUGGGAAUACCAGGUGCUGUAAGCU